rnacentral:rRNA from 1 species
GAUGAACGCUGGCGGCGUGCCUAAUACAUGCAAGUCGAGCGAACAGACGAGGAGCUUGCUCCUCUGACGUUAGCGGCGGACGGGUGAGUAACACGUGGAUAACCUACCUAUAAGACUGGGAUAACUUCGGGAAACCGGAGCUAAUACCGGAUAAUAUAUUGAACCGCAUGGUUCAAUAGUGAAAGACGGUUUUGCUGUCACUUAUAGAUGGUUCCGCGCCGCAUUAGCUAGUUGGUAAGGUAACGGCUUACCAAGGCAACGAUGCGUAGCCGACCUGAGAGGGUGAUCGGCCACACUGGAGCUGAGACACGGUCCAGACUCCUACGGGAGGCAGCAGUAGGGAAUCUGCCGCAAUGGGCGAAAACCUGACGGAGCAACGCCGCGUGAGUGAUGAAGGUCUUCGGAUCGUAAAACUCUGUUAUUAGGGAAGAACAAAUGUGUAAGUAACUAUGCACGUCUUGACGGUACCUAAUCAGAAAGCCACGGCUAACUACGUG